rnacentral:tRNA from 1 species
GGCGUGGAGCAGUCUGGUAGCUCGUCGGGCUCAUAACCCGGAGGUCGCUGGUUCAAAUCCAGCCCCCGCCACCA